rnacentral:SRP_RNA from 1 species
GCCAGGCAUGGUGGCGCACGCCUGUAAUCCCAGCUACUUGGGAGGCUGAGGCAGGAGAAGUGCUUGAACCCAGGAGGUGGAGGUUGCAGUGAGCCAAGAUCGCUCCACUGCACUCCAGCCUGGGUGACAGAGCGAGACUCUGUCUCAA